AUUGAACGCUGGCGGCAGGCCUAACACAUGCAAGUCGAGCGGAUGAAGGGAGCUUGCUGCUGGAUUCAGCGGCGGACGGGGUAGUAAUGCCUAGGAAUCUGCCGGGUAGUGGGGGAUAACGUCCGGAAACGGGCGCUAAUACCUCAUACGUCCUGAGGUAGAAAGUGGGGGAUCUUCGGACCUCACGCUGUCAGAUGAGCCGAGGUCGGAUUACCUAGUUGGUGAGGUAAAGGCCUACCAAGGCGACGAUCCGUAACUGGUCUGAGAGGAUGAUCAGUCACACUGGAACUGAGACACGGUCCAGACUCCUACGGGAGGCCGCAGUGGGGAAUAUUGGACAAUGGGCGAAAGCCUGAUACAGCCCUGCCGCGUGUGUGAAGAAGGUCUUCGGAUUGUAAAGCACUUUAAGUUGGGAGGAAGGGAAGUAAGUUAAUACCUUGCUGUUUUGACGUUACCAACAGAAUAAGCACCGGCUAACUUCGUG
rnacentral:rRNA from 1 species